CUGGAUUUUGUCACUUUGGUACAAGAAACAGGAAAGGAUAUCAUAGACCACCUUACUUAUACGGAAGCAUAGGAGCUGUUGAAGGAAAUUGCUGCCAGACAGUCAGCAGUUAUCACUGACAGCCUGUCCUGGCCCAGCUUGGACCAUCCUCAAGCUAACCAUGAUGGUGUGUUUGCAAGAAUUGUCCAUUUGGUAGACCAUGAUGAAGACCAGCUUUGUUGUGGCAUGGCCUGACAAUACUGUACAAGCCAGAGACCAAAAAAGGGUUAAGUGGUGACUGAUCCUCUCACCCUCCUUAUCCAGGAAACGUUUCGGAACAACGUGUUGGCACUGAAGAUGUGGAGGACACAGAUUGAUCUCAGUACAUCCUUUGGAUACAUGGACACCUUCAACGGGACGACAACAAAACUGUACCUGCCUUUUUUUGAAAGGAAGUAGUUAAUAAAAUUAUUGUUAACAGCUUUUUUAGUCUUGUUGUUUAAGAAUGCUUGCAACAUUUAAGUGGAUAAACGGUUGUUUUAAAUUUGAAUCUUCAGUAAUGCAUUCUUUAUUAAAUGAUGUAAUCUUAUUUCUUUCAAUAUAGUGUAAAUAAUAAGAACAUAAUUAUCCUUUGUAUACAAAAUGAAAACCAAGUUUACUGUUCUAUUAAUCAUUAUUUAUUUAUCUUGUUCUUUUGUCAGAAAUAUUACAGGGGCAUACAUACAGUAUUCCUUAAAUAAAAGGGGCAGUUCUUAGAAAAUUAACAUGUAUUUUAGCAAUGCAUAUUCAAACUUUUUCCACAUUUAUAACCA